ACAGGCUUAACACAUGCAAGUCGAGGGGCAGCAUGGUCUUAGCUUGCUAAGGCCGAUGGCGACCGGCGCACGGGUGAGUAACACGUAUCCAACCUGCCGUCUACUCUUGGACAGCCUUCUGAAAGGAAGAUUAAUACAAGAUGGCAUCAUGAGUCCGCAUGUUCACAUGAUUAAAGGUAUUCCGGUAGACGAUGGGGAUGCGUUCCAUUAGAUAGUAGGCGGGGUAACGGCCCACCUAGUCUUCGAUGGAUAGGGGUUCUGAGAGGAAGGUCCCCCACAUUGGAACUGAGACACGGUCCAAACUCCUACGGGAGGCAGCAGUGAGGAAUAUUGGUCAAUGGGCGAGAGCCUGAACCAGCCAAGUAGCGUGAAGGAUGACUGCCCUAUGGGUUGUAAACUUCUUUUAUAAAGGAAUAAAGUCGGGUAUGGAUACCCGUUUGCAUGUACUUUAUGAAUAAGGAUCGGCUAACUCCGUGCCAGCAGCCGCGGUAAUACGGAGGAUCCGAGCGUUAUCCGGAUUUAUUGGGUUUAAAGGGAGCGUAGAUGGAUAUUUAAGUCAGUUGUGAAAGUUUGCGGCUCAACCGUAAAAUUGCAGUUGAUACUGGAUAUCUUGAGUGCAGUUGAGGCAGGCGGAAUUCGUGGUGUAGCGGUGAAAUGCUUAGAUAUCACGAAGAACUCCGAUUGCGAAGGCAGCCUGCUAAGCUGCAACUGACAUUGAGGCUCGAAAGUGUGGGUAUCAAACAGGAUUAGAUACCCUGGUAGUCCACACGGUAAACGAUGAAUACUCGCUGUUUGCGAUAUACUGCAAGCGGCCAAGCGAAAGCGUUAAGUAUUCCACCUGGGGAGUACGCCGGCAACGGUGAAACUCAAAGGAAUUGACGGGGGCCCGCACAAGCGGAGGAACAUGUGGUUUAAUUCGAUGAUACGCGAGGAACCUUACCCGGGCUUAAAUUGCAGAUGAAUUACGGUGAAAGCCGUAAGCCGCAAGGCAUCUGUGAAGGUGCUGCAUGGUUGUCGUCAGCUCGUGCCGUGAGGUGUCGGCUUAAGUGCCAUAACGAGCGCAACCCUUGUUGUCAGUUACUAACAGGUUCCGCUGAGGACUCUGACAAGACUGCCAUCGUAAGAUGUGAGGAAGGUGGGGAUGACGUCAAAUCAGCACGGCCCUUACGUCCGGGGCUACACACGUGUUACAAUGGGGGGUACAGAGGGCCGCUACCACGCGAGUGGAUGCCAAUCCCCAAAACCUCUCUCAGUUCGGACUGGAGUCUGCAACCCGACUCCACGAAGCUGGAUUCGCUAGUAAUCGCGCAUCAGCCACGGCGCGGUGAAUACGUUCCCGGGCCUUGUACAC
rnacentral:rRNA from 1 species